UAGCCUUGACAUUGAAGAAACACACUAGAGAUAGAGUGGUGCCCUUCGGGGAAUCUGAAAACAGGUGCUGCACGGCUGUCGUCAGCUCGUGUCGUGAGAUGUUGGGUUAAGUCCCGCAACGAGCGCAACCCUCGUCCUUAGUUGCCAGCAGGUUAAGCUGGGCACUCUAAGGAGACUGCCUUCGUAAGGAGGAGGAAGGUGAGGACGACGUCAAGUCAUCAUGGCCCUUAUGGCUAGGGCUACACACGUGCUACAAUGGGCGGUACAAAGGGUAGCGAAGCUGCGAAGUGGAGCCAAUCCCAGAAAGCCGUUCUCAGUUCGGAUCGGAGUCUGCAACUCGACUCCGUGAAGGUGGAAUCGCUAGUAACCGUGGAUCAGCAUGCCACGGUGAAUACGUUCCCGGGCCU
rnacentral:rRNA from 1 species